GCUCUGUGGAUCAGUGGCGAACGGGUGAGUAACACGUGAGCAACCUGCCCCGGACUCUGGGAUAAGCGCUGGAAACGGCGUCUAAUACCGGAUACGAGCUGCGAAGGCAUCUUCAGCAGCUGGAAAGAACUUCGGUCCGGGAUGGGCUCGCGGCCUAUCAGCUUGUUGGUGAGGUAACGGCUCACCAAGGCGUCGACGGGUAGCCGGCCUGAGAGGGUGACCGGCCACACUGGGACUGAGACACGGCCCAGACUCCUACGGGAGGCAGCAGUGGGGAAUAUUGCACAAUGGGCGAAAGCCUGAUGCAGCAACGCCGCGUGAGGGACGACGGCCUUCGGGUUGUAAACCUCUUUUAGCAGGGAAGAAGCGAAAGUGACGGUACCUGCAGAAAAAGCGCCGGCUAACUACGUGCCAGCAGCCGCGGUAAUACGUAGGGCGCAAGCGUUAUCCGGAAUUAUUGGGCGUAAAGAGCUCGUAGGCGGUCUGUCGCGUCUGCUGUGAAAACCCGAGGCUCAACCUCGGGCCUGCAGUGGGUACGGGCAGACUAGAGUGCGGUAGGGGAGAUUGGAAUUCCUGGUGUAGCGGUGGAAUGCGCAGAUAUCAGGAGGAACACCGAUGGCGAAGGCAGAUCUCUGGGCCGUAACUGACGCUGAGGAGCGAAAGGGUGGGGAGCAAACAGGCUUAGAUACCCUGGUAGUCCACCCCGUAAACGUUGGGAACUAGUUGUGGGGUCCAUUCCACGGAUUCCGUGACGCAGCUAACGCAUUAAGUUCCCCGCCUGGGGAGUACGGCCGCAAGGC
rnacentral:rRNA from 1 species